rnacentral:rRNA from 1 species
CCUACGGGAGGCAGCAGUGAGGAAUAUUGGUCAAUGGACGAGAGUCUGAACCAGCCAAGUAGCGUGAAGGAUGACUGCCCUAUGGGUUGUAAACUUCUUUUAUAUGGGAAUAAAAUGUUCCACGUGUGGGAUUUUGUAUGUACCAUAUGAGUAAGGAUCGGCUAACUCCGUGCCAGCAGCCGCGGUAAUACGGAGGAUCCGAGCGUUAUCCGGAGUUAGUGGGUUUAAAGGGAUCGUAGGUGGAUUGUUAAGUCAGUUGUGAAAGUUUGCGGCUCAACCGUAAAAUUGCAGUUGAAACUGGCAGUCUUGAGUACAGUAGAGGUGGGCGGAAUUCGUGGUGUAGCGGUGAAAUGCUUAGAUAUCACGAAGAACUCCGAUUGCGAAGGCAGCUCACUGGACUGCAACUGACACUGAGGCUCGAAAGUGUGGGUAUCAAACAGGAUUAGAUACCCUUGUAGUC